CCCUGAUCAGAGAUGAACGCUAGCGGCACGCUUCAUACAUGCAAGUCGAGGGGCAGCAUAAAGUACUUGUACUUUGAUGGCGACCGGCGAACGGGUGCGUAACGCGUAUGCAACUUACCUUUUACUAGAGAAUAGCCAAGAGAAAUUUUGAUUAAUGCUCUAUACUCUUUUUAACUCACAUGAGAUUUUAAGAAAAGCUCCGGCGGUAAAAGAUGGGCAUGCGUCCUAUUAGCUUGUAAAUGAGGUAACGGCUCACCUAAGCUCCGAUAGGUAGGGGUCCUGAGAGGGAGAUCCCCCACACUGGUACUGAGACACGGACCAGACUUCUACGGAAGGCAGCAGUAAGGAAUAUUGGACAAUGGAGGAAACUCUGAUCCAGCGAUGCCGCGUGAAGGAAGACGGCCCUAUGGGUUGUAAACUUCUUUUAUACAGGAAGAAACCUUUCCACGUGUGGAAAGCUGACGGUACUGUAAGAAUAAGGAUCGGCUAACUCCGUG
rnacentral:rRNA from 1 species